rnacentral:rRNA from 1 species
UACAGAGGGGGCAAGCGUUGUUCGGAAUUACUGGGCGUAAAGGGCGCGUAGGCGGCCUUCUAAGUCGAACGUGAAAUCCCUGGGCUUAACCCAGGAACUGCGUCCGAUACUGGGAGGCUUGAAUCCGGGAGAGGGAUGCGGAAUUCCAGGUGUAGCGGUGAAAUGCGUAGAUAUCUGGAGGAACACCGGUGGCGAAGGCGGCAUCCUGGACCGGUAUUGACGCUGAGGCGCGAAAGCCAGGGGAGCAAACGGG